AUUGAACGCUGGCGGAAUGCUUUACACAUGCAAGUCGAACGGCAGCACGGGGGCAGCCCUGGUGGCGAGUGGCGAACGGGUGAGUAAUACAUCGGAACGUGCCCGGUCUUUGGGGAUAACGUAGCGAAAGUUACGCUAAUACCGCAUACGAUCUGAGGAUGAAAGCGGGGGACCUUCGGGCCUCGCCCGAUCGGAGCGGCCGAUUUCAGAUUAGGUAGUUGGUGGGGUAAAGGCCUACCAAGCCGACGAUCUGUAGCUGGUCUGAGAGGACGACCAGCCACACUGGGACCGAGACACGGCCCAGACUCCUACGGGAGGCAGCAGUGGGGAAUUUUGGACAAUGGGCGCAAGCCUGAUCCAGCCAUUCCGCGUGCAGGACGAAGGCCUUCGGGUUGUAAACUGCUUUUGUACGGAACGAAAAGGCUCUGGCUAAUACCUGGGGCUCAUGACGGUACCGUAAGAAUAAGCACCGGCUAACUACGUG
rnacentral:rRNA from 1 species